rnacentral:rRNA from 1 species
GACGAACGCUGGCGGCGUGCCUAAUACAUGCAAGUUGAGCGCUGAAGGUUGGUACUUGUACCGACUGGAUGAGCAGCGAACGGGUGAGUAACGCGUGGGGAAUCUGCCUUUGAGCGGGGGACAACAUUUGGAAACGAAUGCUAAUACCGCAUAAAAACUUUAAACACAAGUUUUAAGUUUGAAAGAUGCAAUUGCAUCACUCAAAGAUGAUCCCGCGUUGUAUUAGCUAGUUGGUGAGGUAAAGGCUCACCAAGGCGAUGAUACAUAGCCGACCUGAGAGGAUGAUCGGCCACAUUGGGACUGAGACACGGCCCAAACGCCUACGGGAGGCAGCAGUAGGGAAUCUUCGGCAAUGGACGAAAGUCUGACCGAGCAACGCCGCGGGAGUGAAGAAGGUUUUCGGAUCGUAAAACUCGGUUGGUAGAGAAGAACGUUGGUGAGAGUGGAAAGCUCAUCAAGUGACGGUAACUACACAGAAAGGGACGGCUAACUACGUG